UUCAGUUUGGACCCCGCUUCCCUCCCUUGUUCGUCCAUCCGUCACAAUGGUCACACGGCGGCUCCCAAACCCUAAACAGCGGUGGUGCCCCUACGCUUCAGCCUCGACUCAGUAUUCCCCCUUCCCCGCUUCGACAAGUCUCGUCCCCCGCCCCCUUAUUCCAUUACAAGCAACUCCGCCGGUGCCACCGCUGCUGGUGGGACAGGCCGCCGCCGCCGCUGCUGGUGGGACCUACCGCCUCGCGCUCCGCAUCCAGCGCCGCCUCAUCCCGCCCAACCACCCCAGGAUACGGGACUUCGUCUACAGGUACUGCCUUCGCCGAGCCCCGCUGUCGUGCGUCCGCGCUCAGGACGCCGUCGGUCACUGCCAGCCAAACAGGAUCAGCGCGAGCAGCCAGUGCAGGCACAUCUCCUACUCCUACGCCCCGUUCCCGUCGGUCACUGCCAGGAGGAAGGGUGUCUUCCGCGAGGACAUUGCACAGCUGAUGGUAUGUCUGAUGUGUCUUGGUUUAAUAAUAAAGAAGCGAGCGAGCGCAGAGGAAAUUGUCACUGCUGCUGCGGUUUAGGAUGGAGUAAUAUUUUAGCCUUGAUUUUGACAUCCUUUUUUGCAGAGUAGUGGAUCAACAUUAUUCAAAAUUUUGCUCAUGACGUCUGAUAUGUGGACAGUUGCCAUUCAAGUUUUACUCUAUCAUCAAUAGGUGAAGAUUCCUGAUCCAGAAUACUUGUGUAAGAUUAUUAACAUGUUACCCAAUAAUAAUCUUACAUAAUUUGGCCCAACCCAAAGAUACGUUAAUUUAAACUCCCUAGAUUAUUUUGUGGAAUCCCAACAGAGUUUAUUCAUUUGCUUGUACUCUAUGAAGUGGAAGUUCUUGAGAUGCCAAAAAGCAGGGAAGUGCGGACAUAACAGUCAAGAUGAGCUACUUAAAAGUGAGGAUAAUUCAAAGGAGCGUGGUAUCCCGAGAAUAUGAACACUCCAGAGAUGCAAUAUUUGAGGUUAGUAUGCAGUAGUCGAGCCUGUUCAUAGUUUAUUGUUCCUGUUUUCUAAUCUUGGUCUUAUGACUAAUAAUUUUUAAUGAGUGGUUCUAACUGGACUGCAUCCAAAUGUAGUCAUUGGCUAAGCCAAAAUUUGAAUUUCAUAAAGUAACUAAGAUCGGUGUUUGUCCGGAUUGUGACAAGGCUGUAGCUUUCCCCUUAAUCGAUCAGACCAUAUCCUAGGAUUAAGGAUGUGCAACAGAACCCUUUUGUUGUCGACGAUAUCAAUGAGCUUCGGUUUUUUUCACAUCCAUAACUAUAUACCAAGCCUUUCUGCCACAUUUGCAAGCCACACCAUCGCUAUGAAUAGAAAAACUAUUAUGCUAGAUCCAUCUUCUAUCCGCAUAUCAUAACCAUAACGGGUCCUUCAAAAUUUAUUUGUGACCUUUAUGCUUUGAUAUUUGAUUGGUAAGGGUCUACAGGAUCUUAUGACCUUAUUUACCAUCGCUCUGAGUUCGCAAGGCAUAAAUAUUAUGGUUCUUGUGAACUCAUCCUCCUACAUGUAACAUGUCGAGUGAAGCCCAAGCCUGGCCCAACAAGGAGUCAUGUUCUUUGCAGAACAACAAUAGAUAGAUGCCAUUUAAACUAAGUUGAUGGUUGUUUCAAUAUAACACUUGAAAGAACAGACCCAAGGAUGUAAACUCAAGUGUUACUACCCCUCAUGCAAAACUCAAACUAACAAGAAGAUGGUCUCCCCAAAGGCAGUUGCUCACAGAAAAUUUUUGGGCAACUCAAUCUGGUAUACCAUCACAUGUCACCAAGGUGCUAUUUCAAAUCAAAACAAGUUAAAAAUGUACAUCUAACAAAGAUACCAUUGUCAGAUCUUUAUACAACACAACACACCAAUGUUGCUAUUCAAAAACUGUUGCUACCUGCCUAGAGCCCAGUUCUCCAACCUUUCCAUGUCCGGGGCUGGGUGCCUGGGUCUGCGUUAAUGCUGGACAGCAGCUUGUGAUUGUUUAGUGUCUGAAAACUCUAGCAAAAGUCUGGUGGCAAACAAGGUUCUCAAUUUAGACAUAUCACUGUGUGGUAGCGUUUGCUCCUUAAUUCUAUUUCUAAAACAUCUGCUUAUUGGUGUCCAUGUGCUGGUUCAUAUGCAAUGAUGUUCUUUGUUUGUGAUGGAAUCUUAUGAUUUUGCUAAAAUGUGCAUUGUUUUAGUGGUACUUCCAAACAGUGGCCACUAACCAUCAUGGUGAGGAUGCAUCAUCAGUAGCAGUCAGAAGUAAGAAAGGCUUAAAGACGAUUAGACAUACCACUAUGUUUAUUUACUAUACUAUUAUUUUGAUGUACUAAAUGAUUUCAUUUGAGUUAUUUUGGUGUUUUGAUGGCAUAUGGAGGCCUCCAAGAUUUUUUGACUGAAAAGAAAGAUUUAACAAUUACAUUGAUCAGGAACCGGAUUCUCCCAUUAUAUUCUUUGGAUCCUUGCAGCCCAUAUUUGAUUUCAAUGGCUAAUUGGGUUAUUGGUCAGCUUGCGAUAUGCCUACCAGAGGACAUGAGUUCUAGUAUUUAUCAGUCCUUAAUGAAGGCGUUGACCAUGGAGUAUGUGGAGGACAUAACUUGUUAUCCGGUUUGUGCCUCUGCUUCUGGUGCUAUUGCAGAACUCAUCGAGAAUAGUUAUGUUCCACCUGACUGGCUCAUUCUUCUGCAAGUGGUUCUGAAAAGAAUAAGUACUGGAGAUGAAAAUGAGUCUGCUCUUCUGUUCAAGCUUCUGGGCACAAUAGUUGAGGGUGGACAGGAAAAAGUUGUUUCAUAUUCCUGAAAUUGUAUCCAACAUUGCGAGUACUAUAAUGGAGCUCCUGCCCCCUGUCCCAGAUCCUUGGCCUCAGGUAGUAGUGCAUAUUUCUUCUGUGUGGUCAAUAUUUUGGUACUUUGUGCAUGGAGUACAAUCACCAUGCCUGCUUUUAAUCUUAUGAUCAGUUAUUACUUUCAUGUUAACAAUAUCGUUUCCAUCCAUUGACAAUUUAUGGAUUAGCUGAUUCCUAUACACAUUGGUACUAAAAAUUGGACAUAAAAAUAUUAAACUAACUUGUAAACCUAUUUGAAUAGAAUAAUACCAUACAAUACAUUUGGAAGUACUGACUGUUUACUUUUUUAUACAGAAAUGCAUGUUUCCCCAGUCAUGCUUGGACGAUCACCUUUCAUCAUAUCCCAUUAUUCCUGGUGUAUUUUAUUCCUUGAGGAAAUCCCAACCACACUAUUUAAUAUAUCUGCCAUGUAGGUUGUUGAACAGGGUUUCACAGCCCUCGUAGCAAUGGUGCAAGCUUGGGAGAGCUCUGCACCAGAUGAAAACAAGACACCUAAAAAGAGGUUCUGGCAGUCAGGCCAGUCUGCUAUUGCCCAAACAAUUUCAUUACUGUUACAAAAAGCUUGGUUGUUUCAAGCUGACAAUAUGGAGGGCUCUGCAUUACCACCUCUGUCAUGCGUAAACGAUGCUUCUGUGUUACUUGAGUUUGUCAUGAGUUCUGUCACUUGCAUGGAAGAAACUGAAAGUCUGAAGGUCUUUGAGCUGGUAGCUACAUGGGCUAACGCUGUUGCCAACUGGGACUCCUGGGAGAUGGAGGAUCAGGGUGUUUUCAACACAAUUAAAGAAGCUGUCAAUUUCCACCAGAGAUUUGACCUCGACGGUCUCUUCCUGAAAACGCACUUUGUGAGAUGUCAUUCCACUAGCUAAAAGUUUGCAGAAAUGGCACCAUCAAGAUCGGUCUGGAGACCAACAAGAUCAUGGACUUCAUCAAGUUUGAUGUCGGCAACGUGGUCAUGAUGACCGGUGGGAGGAACACCAGGCGUGUAGGAGUGAUCAAGAACAGGGAGAAGCACAAGGGCAACUUCGAGACCAUCCACGUGCUGCUUAGAGCUUUUUGCUAUGUCUAGUUUUCUCCUAUUUGUUGUAUAGGAAAACAUAGAAUGGAAUUCAAAUUUGGUGGCCGCAAAAUAUGGAGACUUGAAUUCAUAUAAAGUUAGGCUUAACAUUAGUGCAAACAAUUGUAUUUUAGUUUAGAUUUAGAGUACACUUAUGUAUGUGUUGUUUGACAAUGCUUAUUUAUGAUAUAUUGAAUGGUACUUAUUUA